CACUAGUGGCACUCGGGGUACCGCCGCCGCAUGACGCGUGGGCCACCUCACUUGCUUCCCGGAAGGAUCGCACCCCGGGCAGCACCGCACAAGCUGCCCGGCAAGUCACCAGCCCGACAGGGCUAGCCGGGCUGCGGGGUUGCCCUGGAGGGCAGCGAGAGAAUUCCUGCCUGGGCGCUUCCUAGGGAGGUCACUUGCCGGGAAGGGCGUUCCCGGGCACAGGCACCCGUUACAGGAGCGGGACCAAGCGGGCAGGACAACGACGCCACGUGGCCGCUCGGCGGGCUCCCUGUGCGCAGGGCUCGUCAGGGCGAGGAGUGAAGCACAAGCAAACAUUAAAUGCUCCGACAGAAAGGGGAUUCCCCGUCCAGUCAGCCUACAGUGACUGGCCCGGUGUGAAUUCUAGGCACGUAGCGCCCUAGCUGCAGGGCUACUCAUCAUGCAUGCAAGCCAGCACACCGAGGGCAAGCUGCCCUAGUUCUUUGCUCGCAACUUGUCACCCAUGCACCGAGGCACCUGUGGUAUCCCCUUGAGUAUAAAAGGAGGACCCCCGCCAACGGUCGGUCAGGGGGGUUUGGUUUUUUUACUAGCUUUGGCCAGAAAUAGCAAGUAGCUCUUAGUAGAAAAGGAGAGAACGCCCGGGAACUCCCUCGGCAACCUAUAAACCUUUGUUCACUGGCUAAUAAGAACGCUGAAGCAGGACGUAGGGUUUUACACCUCAGGGUGGCCCGAACCUGGGUAAAAACGAUUGUGUGCAUCCUCACGCUUGACAUUGGCUUCGCCGGUGCUCGCCGGAGCGAUCCCCGACGCCCUCUGCCGAACCUAAAAGGGGGUGCUGCUCACCCCCGGUGUCUACGGCCCGGGCUACGACAUCUGGCGUGCCAGGUAGGGGGCGCGUGUGGAUAGCUCGCCGGAGAUCGCUGGCGCCGUCGUUUGCAGCUACAUCGGCAACGUCUUCUUCACCGACAGGAUCAACCCUCAUGCCUCCCAAGCGGGUUGGUGACUCUCGGAUUGAUCCACGUGGUGCCCCAACGGCGCACAUGCGGUCACACGACGCGCAACACGCGUCGCAGGGCCAGGAGAACCCUGAGCCCUCUCGGGUGCAGCAGUCGCAGCUGCCACCCCCGCCUUCUCGGCCGUCGGCGGGCAACCGGCUGAGGGGGCCGGCGGCUCCCAACGCUGGAGCCAGUCGAGCGAGCGGCCACGAUGCCGCCCACGCCGGCCAACGAGUUUACUCGCGGAUCGAAGACGCGCAGCGGCAGCUGCGCCAUGAGCACACCGCGUCGCGAUCGACGCUAUCGGGGUCGCACCCUACCCACCCGGGUGCGCCGGGGACAGGGCGGGGGGCAGCCGGUCGGAGAAUCGGCUGCCUCCAGCCCAAACCCCGACAGAAGCUGCCGCACAGGUCAUGGUGCGCUAUGAGCCGUAGCAGGGCACGCCGGCGCACGAGGCGUGGGGUGCGGAGUUGGACGCGCUCCUCGCGCUCGCCGCCCAACGGCCGCAAGGCGAGGGCGCCCCGGCCGGUUCGGGUCGGAGGCAGAACCCAGGACGCGGAGACGCGCCCCGCGCCUCGGGGCAGGGAGAAAACCCUCCCUCUCAGGGAGGGCAAGGAGGCGGAGAUCUUGAGGGGUCCUCGGAUUCGUCACCGACCGUCACGUGGGGUGACGCGCGGGCUCAAGCAGAAGAUCCACCGGCAAGCACAGGAGCGCAAAGAUUUCAUCAAGCAAGAAGUGGACAAGCUUAAAGCUGCGGGGCCUAUCAGGGAAGUACUGUACCCCACUUGGUUAGCUAACCCUGUAGUAGUACCCAAGGGGGGAGGAUAAACUUCGCAUGUGUGUAGAUUUUACUGAUCUUAACCGUGCAUGUCCUAAAGAUCCUUUUCCUGUACCUCGCAUUGACCAAAUAGUAGAUUUCAUUGCCGGUUGUGAUUUGCUGUGUUUUUUGGAUGCUUUUUCCGGCUACCAUCAAAUUAAGAUGGCAGUCGAAGACGAAGAAAAAACGGCGUUUAUCACCUCGGUUGGCUGUUACUGCUACACGUGCAUGCCAUUCGGGUUGAAGAACGCGGGCUCAACAUUCCAGCGUGCUUUAAGCGAGUGUUUGGGAUCCCAGCUAGGCCGAAACGUUGAGGCCUACAUGGAUGAUAUCGUCAUCAAGUCAAAGCGCGGGGACUCCUUGAUUGAUGACCUGCGGGAAACGUUUGAUAACCUCCGCAGGAUCAAGCUCAAGUUGAACCCUGAGAAAUGCACCUUUGGUGUAUGACUCGGGGCAGCUUUUGGGCUUCUUGGUUUCGCAAAGGGGGAUUCAAGCCAACCCAAAGAAGAUAGAAGCUAUCGAGAAAAUGGAGGCUCCCCGCAGGGUGUAGGACGUGCAGCGCCUCAACGGCUGCGUAGCCGCGCUGGGACGUUUCAUUUCAAGGCUGGGCGAGCGCGCCCUCCCUUUCUUCAAGGUGAUGAAGAAGAAGGGCCCAAUCGACUGGACCCCCGAGGCUGAGGUGGUGUUCCAGGAUCUCAAGAAGUACCUGAAGUCGCCGCCGAUCCUCGUCGCCACCAAGCCGGGCGAGCCGCUGCUACUCUACCUAGCGGCGACUGACCAAGUGGUCAGCUCGGUGCUAGUUGCCGAGAGAGAGGGAGACCUCCCGGAGGCUGAGCUUGCGGGGCAGGGGGCUGAACUAGCCCCGGCAACCGCUCCGAACCCGGGAACUGCCGUCGAGCCGGCAGCGUCAACACCGCACAGGCGGCUCGUGCAGCACCUGGUGUACUUCAUUAGCACGGUGCUGCACGACGCCCACACGCGGUACCCGCAAGUGUAGAAGCUCUUACUGGAGAUCCUGCUUGCAUCACGCAAGCUGCGCCACUACUUCUAGGCGCACCGCGUCACGGUGGUGUCGGGAUUCUGCCUCGAGCGGGCCCUCACCAACCGUGAAGCCACCUGAAGGGUGGCCGAAUGGAGGAUGGAGUUGUCGGAGUUCGACCUGCACUUCACCAACACCAAGAGCAUCAAGAGUGCGGCUAUGGCUGAUUUCGUUGCGGAGUGGACUUCGACGAGCGUAGAAGAAGAAGAGCUGGAGACCAGCCUGCCUGGCAAGCUGGACGAAGGCCACUGGAUCCUGUACUUCGACGGCGCGUUCAGCCUGCAGUGAGCUGGCGCCGGAGUCGUCAUCUAGUCAUCCACAGGAGUGCAGCUGAAGUUCGCCAUCCAGCUCGACUUCCCCAACUCCACCAACAACACGGCUGAGUACGAAGGGUUGCUCGCCGGGUUGCGGGCGGCGAUCGCCCUUGAUAUCAAGCGCCUGGUUGUUCGCUGGGAUUCCCAACUCGUGAUCAACCAGGUUAACAAGGACUACGACUGCCCGCUGAUGGCAGCGUACGUGGAUGAGGUCCGCAAGCUGGAACGCAAGUUCAAGGGUUUGCGGUUCGAGCACGUCAAGCGCAAGGAUAACUUCGCGGUUGACGAGCUGUCCAAGUUGGCAGCAGAGCGCCGGAAGGUUUAGGCGAGGGUGUUCUGGCACAGGCAGACUGCGCCUUCGGUUGCCCCCAAGCCGGCUGCCGGGGAAGCCCCCCCGGCAACCGAAGGAAACCCCGCAACAGCGGAGGUCCAUGCCGCUGAUGUAGCGGCAUGCAUGAGUAGGGAAACCCCGCCUUGGGCGGUGGAUAUCGCCCGCUACCUGAAGGGAGAAGCCCUCCCGGAAGAUGACGUUGCCGCGGAACGCGUAGCCCGGCAAGGCAAGAUGUACGCCCUGGUGGACGGGAACCUCUAGCGGAGGCGUGCAAAUGGAGGGAAGCUCCUCUGCGUGCCCAAGAAGAAGGGCGCGCACUCCUGGAAGAGAUACACCGAGGCACAUGUUCUCACCAUGUGGCCUCCCAGGCUCUGGCCAGUAAGGCUUUCCGGCACGGCUUCUACUGGCCUACAGCGCAAGUCGAUGCUGAGCAACUGGUCAAGACGUGCGAGGCGUGUCAGUUCCAUGCGAAGAAGAGCAACCAACCGUCGCAAGCCCUGCAAGUCAUUCCAUCCUCCUGGCCGUUCGCGGUCUGGGGGCUGGACAUCGUCGGCAAGUUGCCGAGCGGUUGGCGGCUACGGGUAUCUGCUCGUGGGCAUCGACAAGUUCUCCAAGUGGGUAGAAGUGGAACCAGUGCGGAAGGUGACCGCCCAGGCAGCCGUGAAGUUCUUCUAGGGCAUCGUGUGCCGGUUUGGUGUGUCUAACGGCAUCAUCACCGACAACAACACACAGUUCACGAGCGCAGCAUUCCAAGCCUACUGCGAGAGCAUGAGCACCAAGAUCCACUUCGCGUCUGUUGCUCACCCGAGGAGCAACGGGCAAGCGGAGAGGGCCAACGCAGAGGUGCUGUGGGGGCUCAAGACGCGAACCUUUGACAAGCUCAAAGGCUACGGGAAGCACUGGAUUGAGGAACUCCAGCCCGUGCUGUGGUCGAUCAGGACCAUACCUAGCCGGGCAAUAGGUGAAACACCUUUCGCCCUUGUCUACGGGGCAAAAGCGGUGCUGCCGCUCGAGCUCAAGCAUGGAUCCCCUCGGGUACGCGCGUACGGCAACCAUAGCCAACACGAACAGAGGGUGGACGAUCUAAACUUCAUCGAAGAUCUUCGAUGCCGGGCUGCUGUGCGGGCUGCACGCUACCAGCAGGGACUCCGCUGUUACCAUGACAGGCGGGUCCGUCCCUGGGAGCUCGAGAUCGGAAACCUUGUCUUGCGCCGGAUACAAGGAACGAAGGCCGGGAACAAGCUGGCUCCGAAAUGGGAGGGCCCCUUCCGGGUAGUGCAGGUAACCAGGCCGGGGGCUGCCCGGCUAGAAACCGAAGAAGGCUUGCCGGUGCAAAACAGUUGGAACCUUAAGCACUUGCGUAAGUUCUACCCGUGAAGCGGCGGAGCCCGACCCACAUGUGAUGCUCCGACAGCAUGCCUCUCAAACUAGUGUAGCCGGGCAACCCCCGAUUGUAAACCGCUAAUUUCUAUGAAUAAAGAUAAGUGCUUUCCUCUGAGUUUCAAGUUGUCUCGAUUAUUUGCAUGUUUUUUCUUAUGUCUCCUGCUUUAGGUACACAGAAGUCUCGUUCCAUCCUUGGUUGUGAGCAGGGGGCUGCCGGAGCCUCGAAAACAAAAAACCCGCUGCCGGAUCGCUCCGGAACGGGCCCAUGCCGUUGCCGGGCUCCCCGCAACGCGCAUCACGCAGAAGCUGCGUCCUGGAAUGGAGGAGUGCUCAAACCAAGUUUGGCAUCGACCCUUCUGUGCCCGGGGCCUGGGAGGCAGAAGGGUUACCUGUGCUCUAUCUGUGUUGAGUCUUUUUUCGUGCAUUUCGAAAAAAAAUUGCAGCAUCUUGGGCUUGGUAAGAAUUUGACAUGCAUGACAAGGACGGAAUUGCGCGCACUGUGAUGCUCGUGGAGCGCUCAUGCACCAUUGGCUACCGCUAAAUGACACGGCCCGUGAGCGCUCCAGUUGUCAACGGAUGCCACUGGUGCGACAGUAGCCCCCGGGCGUGGACCGGCAACGCCUGUUCCCGGGUGAAAUCUUCCCUGAUCGGUUGCCGGGCUACGCCCUUAACCGACGCGUGGGUCCCGAACCGUUUCGGGUCCCUGUCUAUGCGUUGCUCCAGGGACUCUUCCGUUACGGGCAGAGUAGUGGGCGCGAGAUUUCUGCCCUAACCUCCUCCUUUAACAUGGGUGGUUAAGGCCACGCCCUGCACUACUCUCUUGAAGCGUAGUUAUUCCCAGCGCACCCGUAGGGUACGCAUGUGACCGUUGCUUAGCGCCGGGGCGUUAUAAGACCCCACCGCUGCGCUGAGGAGCAAACACUUAGCCCCCUAGCCUUUCCUCCUCAUCCCCAAGCUUCCUUGCGCACCUGAAUCCUGCUAGCUUCCGCCCACGUUCCCCAUGGCGCCCACCGCUCCCAAGAAAGGGAAAGGCUCCAAGAGUUCUGCGACCGGCAAGAGCGAGAAGGCUCCCAAGAAGCCCAUCUCGGAGAAGGACCAGAAGAAACAGGCGCUGAGGGCCACGCACGCCUUCUUCCGGCCCGACUACAAUGGCGAGGGGCUGGACAAGGUCCGGCACGCCGUCGCCUCUCGGUUCAACGAGUACGGGGAGACUCUCAUCUUCCCCUCCGGCGCCGAGCACCAGGAGAACGACUUACGGGUGUUCGCGCGCUUCAUCUUCGCCGGGUUGGUGCCUCCAUACUCCUUGUUCCUCCACGUGCUCAUGGAGGCGUACCAGCUUCGGGUGGCGCAGCUCCACCCCACCUCCCUCUUCCUCCUUGCCGUCUUCCAGUUCCUCCGCGAGAUUUCCAUUGUAGCCGGGCCGGAAGAAGGCGUGCGUGGCCGUCAGCGCCCGUUUCUUCUGGUCCUUCUCCGAGAUGGGCUUCUUGGGAGCCUUCUCGCUCUUGCCAGCCGCGGAACUCUUGGAGCCUUUCCCUUUUCUGGGAGCGGUGGGCGCCAUGGGGAACGUGGGCGGAAGCUAGCAGGAUUCAGGUGCGCAAGGAAGCUUGGGGAUGAGGAGGAACGGCUGGGGGGCUAAGUGUUUGCUCCUCAGCGCAGCGGUGGGGUCUUAUAACGUCCCGACGCUAAGCAACGGUCACAUCCGUACCCUACGGGUGCGCUGGGGAUAACUACGCUUCAAGAGGGUAGUGCAGGGCGUGGCCUUAACCACCCAUGUUUAAAAGGGAGGUUAGGGUGGAAAUCUCGCGCCCACUACUCUGCCCAUAACGGCGGAGUCCCUGGAGCAGCGCAUAGACAGGGACCCGAAACGGCUCGGGACCCACGCGUUGGUUAAGGGCGUAGCCCGGCAACUGACCAGGGAAGAUUUCACCCGGGAACAGGCGUUGCCGGCCCACGCCCGGGGGGUACCGCCGCCGCAUGACGCGUGGGCCACCUCUCUUGCUCUCCGGAAGGAUCGCACCCCGGGCAGCACUGCACAAGCUGCCCGGCAAGUCACCAGCCCGGGGGGGCUAGCCGGGGUGCGGGGGUUGCCCUGGAGGGCAGCGAGAGAAUUCCCGCCUGGGCGCUUCCUAGGGAGGUCACUUGCCGGGAAGGGCGUUCCCGGGCGCAGGCACCCGUUACAGGAGCGGGACCAAGCGGGCAAGAUAACGACGCCACGUGGCCGCUCGGCGGGCUCCCUGUGUGCAGGGCUCGUCAGGGCGAGGAGUGAAGCACAAGCAAACAUUAAAUGCUCCGACAGAAAGGGGAUUCCCCGUCCAGUCAGCCUACAGUGACUGGCCCGGUGUGAAUUCUAGGCGCGUAGUGCCCUAGCUGCAGGGCUACUCAUCAUGCAUGCAAGCCAGCACACUGAGGGCAAGCUGCCCUAGUUCUUUGCUCGCCACUUGUCACCCAUGCACCGAGCCACCUGUGGUAUCCCCUUGAGUAUAAAAGGAGGACCCCCGCCAACGGUCGGUCGGGGGGGUUCGGGUUUUUUACUAGCUUUGGCCAGAAAUAGCAAGUAGCUCUUAGUAGAAAAGGAGAGAACGCCUGGGAACUCCCCCGGCAACCUAUAAACCUUUGUUCACUGCCUAAUAAGAACGCUGAAGCAGGACGUAGGGUUUUACACCUCAGGGUGGCCCGAACCUGGGUAAAAACGAUUGUGUGCAUCCUCACGCUUGACAUUGGCUUCGCCGGCGCUCGCCGGAGCGAUCCCCGACGUCCUCUGCCGAACCUAAAAGGGGUGCCGCUCACCCCCGGUGUCUAAGCCCCGGGCUACGACAACCUGAGAUUGGUUUGAGGUCAUCUGCCCAACAUGCCAUUUUUUGCCCCAUCUGUCACUGCUGUUGCCGAGGGAAAUGUAUCAUCUAUUGAAACUACGGAUUUAAACACCGACAAAGCAUCCAAUGGUAAAGUAUAUUAUGUUCAUGCUACAUUGCAGUUUUAAUAAUUUGCACCAUUGGUAAUUGUCGAAAUUCGUAAUUGCACUUCAAUUGAAUUUUAUUUGCAUCUCUACUGCUAUUGCAAUUCAUGUCUAUGCAUUAUGCAAUUGAUAGUCUCUGUAAUAUAAUUUGCAAUUUUUUUUGCAAUCUUUAUGCUUUCUACUAUCUUUUUGUGAUUUUAGUCCUUAUUUGAAGAUGGAGCCCCUGCUGUUGAUUUUGCAGCCCCAUAGCAGUCUUUAAGUUCAGGUGCUUUGAACACUGCUUCUUCUGAACUUUCACUAGAAAAUGUCAGUAAAUUUUCUUGCAGUUCAAAGGGGUAUUAUACUUGUGAUAACAAAG
rnacentral:lncRNA from 1 species